GCUUAUCUUCACACCAGCACACUGUUUCUAGUGUUAGUCUUAGCCCAGAGGAGUUUCCUGAAGCAAAACUCCAUUUAGGAAAUAAGUCUUUGCUAAAGGGCUUGUGAUAGGGAUGGUCUUUGAAGGUUUAUUAAUAAUCCUAUGGAUGCAGCUUGCAUGUGUGAAUGGCCAAGAGCUGAAUCAGAGUCCUAAGUCUGUGUCCAUCCAGGAAGGAGAGGAUUUCACCAUGAACUGCAAUUCCUCAAGCACAUUUAACAUAUUCCUGUGGUACAAGCAGGACCCUGGAGAAGCUCCCGCCCUCCUGAUAACCUUAUAUAAGGCUGCUGAAUCGACUAGAAUUGGGAAAAUGACUGCUCAGUUUGGAGCAACAAGAAAGGAAAGCUUCUUGAACAUCUCAGCCUCUGAGCCUGAUGAUGCAGGCACCUACUUCUGUGCUGGGCAGCACAGUGCUCCCCAGGCACCUGCAGCCUGUACUCAAACUGGCAUCUGGGACUCCAGCCUCUGUGUUGCCUCCAGCUCCUGCUUCUCUUGGCAUGAAACAUGA